CAGAGCACAGAGGCUGUUUCUGUUCAGAGAAAGUGGAACUAUCAGACAGUCACUGAGAGAGGGAGAAAUGGCGUCACAAGGAAUGGACCAAACAAGAUUCUGCUGUUCGAUCUGUUUGGAUCUACUGAAGGAUCCGGUGACUAUUCCCUGUGGACACAGCUACUGCAUGAACUGUAUUAAAGGCUUCUGGGAUGAAGAGGAGGAGAAGAGACUCUACAGCUGCCCUCAGUGCAGACAGACCUUCACACCGAGGCCUGUCCUGGUGAAAAACACCAUGUUAGCAGAUUUAGUGGAGGAGCUGAAGAAGACUGGACUCCAAGCUGCUCCUGCUGAUCACUGCUAUGCUGGACCUGAAGAUGUGGCCUGUGAUGUCUGCACUGAGAUGAAGGUGAAAGCUGUGAAGUCUUGCAUGUUUUGUUUGGUCUCUUACUGUGAGAAACACCUUCAGCCUCAUUACAAAUCCUCUGCAUUUAAAACGCACAAGCUGGUGGAGCCCUCUAAGAAGCUCCAGGAGAACAUCUGCUCUCGUCAUGAUGAGGUGAUGAAGAUGUUCUGCCGUACUGAUCAGCAGAGUAUCUGUUAUCUCUGCUCUGUGGAUGAACAUAAAGGCCACCACACAGUCUCAGCUGCAGCAGAAAGGACUGAGAGGCAGAGAGAGCUCGAGGUGAGUCGACUAAACAUCCAGCAGAGAAUCCAGGACAGAGAGAAACAUGUGAAGCUGCUUCAACAGGAGGUGGAGGCCAUCAAUCAGUCUGCUCAUAAAACAGUGGAGCACAGUGAGAAGAUCUUCACUGAGCUGAUCCGUGUGAUCCAGAAAAGAAGCUCUGAUGUGAAGCAGCAGAUCAGAUCCCAGCAGGAAACUGAAGUGAGUCGAGUCAAAGAGCUUCAGGAGAAGCUGGAGCAGGAGAUCACUGAGCUGAAGAGGAAAGACGCUGAGCUGAAGCAGCUCUCACACACAGAGGAUCACAUCCAGUUUCUACACAACUACCCCUCACUGUCAGCACUCAGUGAGUCUACACACUCAUCCAGCAUCAAUAUCCGUCCUCUGAGAUACUUUGAGGAUGUGACAGCAGCUGUGUCAGAGCUCAGAGAGAAACUACAGGACAUCCUGAGAGAGGGAUGGAGAAACAUCUCACUGACAGUCACUGAAGUGGAUGUUUUACUGUCAAAUCCACCAGAGCCAAAGACCAGAGCUGAAUUCUUAAAAUAUUCACAGGAAAUCACACUGGAUCCAAACACAGCAAACACAUGUCUGUUAUUAUCAGAGGGGAACAGAAAAGUAACAUUAACAUUAAUGAAUCAACAAUGGUUUUAUUCUGAUCAUCCAGACAGAUUCACUGAUUGGUGUCAGGUCCUGAGCAGAGAGAGUCUGACUGGACGUUGUUACUGGGAGGUGGAGUGGAGAGGAAGAGGAGUUUGUAUAGCAGUCACAUACAAGAAUAUCAGCAGAGCAGGGAAUGAAUGUGGAUUUGGACAUAAUGACAAAUCUUGGGCCUUAAAUUGUUUCAACAACAAAUUUACAUUUUUGUACAACAACAUCCAAACUCCUGUCUCAGGUCCUCGGUCCUCCAGAGUAGGAGUGUACCUGGAUCACAGAGCAGGAUCUCACUCAGAUCUGAAAAUGUGAAACUAAUCUGAGAGAAUAACUGAAGCAGUUUUCCUCCUGAAACACCACAAAGCACAUCGCUCCAAACUCCAGAAAAAUCAAUCUUCAUUUGAACAUAACGGGUUACUUCUGACCAGAAGGGGGCAGUAGAGU